CCCCUAGAUGUUCUGGGCUGCACGCGCGCUACACUGAACAGUUCAACAAGUCUUAACCUUGGCCGAUAGGUCUGGGUAAUCUUUGAACGCUGUUCGUGAUUGGGAUAGACCUUUGCAAUUAUGGGUCUUCAACGAGGAAUUCCUAGUAAACGCAAGUCAUCAGCUUGCAUUGAUUACGUCCCUGCCCUUUGUACACACCGCCCGUCGCACCUACCGAUUGAAUGGUCCGGUGAAAUCUCGGGACGGCGGCUUGGUCGCUUGCGUCCGACUGCUGAAACUUGAUUAAACCAUAUCAUUUAGAGGAAGGUGAANUCGUANCA
rnacentral:rRNA from 1 species